rnacentral:rRNA from 1 species
GACGAACGCUGGCGGCGUGCCUAAUACAUGCCAGUCGAGCGAAGUUUUUCUGGUGCUUGCACUAGAAAAACUUAGCGGCGAACGGGUGAGUAACACGUAAAGAACCUGCCUCAUAGACUGGGACAACUAUUGGAAACGAUAGCUAAUACCGGAUAACAGUAUUUCUCGCAUGAGAGAUAUUUAAAAGUUGGUUAUGCUAGCACUAUGAGAUGGCUUUGCGGUGCAUUAGCUAGUUGGUGGGGUAAAGGCCCACCAAGGCGACGAUGCAUAGCCGACCUGAGAGGGUGAUCGGCCACACUGGGACUGAGACACGGCCCAGACUCCUACGGGAGGCAGCAGUAGGGAAUCUUCCGCAAUGGGCGAAAGCCUGACGGAGCAACGCCGCGUGAGUGAAGAAGGAUUUCGGUUCGUAAAGCUCUGUUGUUAGGGAAGAAUGGAUAUGUAGUAACUAUACAUGUAAGAGACGGUACCUAACCAGAAAGCCACGGCUAACUACGUG